UUAAGUUAAUAAGGGCGCACGGUGGAUGCCUUGGCACUAGGAGCCGACGAAGGACGUGACAAACGACGAUAUGCCUUGGGUAGCUGUAAGUAAGCGAUGAUCCAGGGAUUUCCGAAUGGGGGAACCCAACAGGUAAUACCUGUUACCUACAUCUGUUAAGGAUGUGAGGAGGAAGACGCAGUGAACUGAAACAUCUAAGUAGCUGCAGGAAGAGAAAGCAAAAGCGAUUGCCUUAGUAGCGGCGAGCGAAACGGCAGAAGGGCAAACCGAAGAGUUUACUCUUCGGGGUUGUAGGACUGCAAUGUGGACUCAAAGAUUAUAGAAGAAUGAUUUGGGAAGAUCAGCCAAAGAGAGUAAUAGCCUCGUAUUUAAAAUAGUCUUUGUACUUAGCAGUAUCCUGAGUACGGCGGGACACGUGAAAUCCCGUCGGAAUCUGGGAGGACCAUCUCCCAACCCUAAAUACUCCCUAGUGACCGAUAGUGAACCAGUACCGUGAGGGAAAGGUGAAAAGCACCCCGGGAGGGGAGUGAAAUAGAACCUGAAACCGUGUGCCUACAACAAGUUCGAGCCCGUUAAUGGGUGAGAGCGUGCCUUUUGUAGAAUGAACCGGCGAGUUACGUUAUGAUGCGAGGUUAAGUUGAAGAGACGGAGCCGUAGGGAAACCGAGUCUGAAUAGGGCGCCUUAGUAUCAUGACGUAGACCCGAAACCAUGUGACCUACCCAUGAGCAGGUUGAAGGUGCGGUAAGACGCACUGGAGGACCGAACCAGGGCACGUUGAAAAGUGCUUGGAUGACUUGUGGGUAGCGGAGAAAUUCCAAACGAACUUGGAGAUAGCUGGUUCUCUCCGAAAUAGCUUUAGGGCUAGCGUCGACAUUAGAGAUUCUUGGAGGUAGAGCACUGUUUGGGUGAGGGGUCCAUCCCGGAUUANCAAUCUCAGAUAAACUCCGAAUGCCAAUGAAUUAUGGUCGGCAGUCAGACUGCGAGUGCUAAGAUCCGUAGUCGAAAGGGAAACAGCCCAGACCACCAGCUAAGGUCCCAAAAUAAUUGUUAAGUGGAAAAGGAUGUGGGGUUGCACAGACAACUAGGAUGUUAGCUUAGAAGCAGCUAUUCAUUCAAAGAGUGCGUAAUAGCUCACUAGUCGAGUGACCCUGCGCCGAAAAUGUACCGGGGCUAAAACAAUUUACCGAAGCUGUGGAUACCUUUAUAGGUAUGGUAGGAGAGCGUUCUAUGUGUGAUGAAGGUAUACCGUGAGGAGUGCUGGAACGCAUAGAAGUGAGAAUGCCGGUAUGAGUAGCGAAAGACAGGUGAGAAUCCUGUCCACCGUAAGACUAAGGUUUCCAGGGGAAGGCUCGUCCGCCCUGGGUUAGUCGGGACCUAAGGAGAGACCGAAAGGUGUAUCCGAUGGACAACAGGUUGAUAUUCCUGUACUAGAGUAUGUAGUGAUGGAGGGACGCAGUAGGCUAACUAAAGCAGACGAUUGGAAGAGUCUGUCUAAGCAGUGAGGUGUGAAUUGAGUCAAAUGCUUAAUUCUAUAACAUUGAGCUGUGAUGGGGAGCGAAGUUUAGUAGCGAAGUUAGUGACGUCACACUGCCAAGAAAAGCUUCUAGCGUUUAAACAUACUCUACCCGUACCGCAAACCGACACAGGUAGUCGAGGCGAGUAGCCUCAGGUGAGCGAGAGAACUCUCGUUAAGGAACUCGGCAAAAUGACCCCGUAACUUCGGGAGAAGGGGUGCUGACUUAAAGUCAGCCGCAGUGAAUAGGCCCAAGCAACUGUUUAUCAAAAACACAGCUCUCUGCUAAAUCGUAAGAUGAUGUAUAGGGGGUGACGCCUGCCCGGUGCUGGAAGGUUAAGAGGAGUGCUUAGCGUAAGCGAAGGUAUGAAUUGAAGCCCCAGUAAACGGCGGCCGUAACUAUAACGGUCCUAAGGUAGCGAAAUUCCUUGUCGGGUAAGUUCCGACCCGCACGAAAGGCGUAAUGAUUUGGGCACUGUCUCAACGAGAGACUCGGUGAAAUUUUAGUACCUGUGAAGAUGCAGGUUACCCGCGACAGGACGGAAAGACCCCAUGGAGCUUUACUGCAGUUUGAUAUUGAGUGUCUGUACCACAUGUACAGGAUAGGUAGGAGUCUAAGAGAUCGGGACGCCAGUUUCGAAGGAGACGCUGUUGGGAUACUACCCUUGUGUUAUGGCCACUCUAACCCAGAUAGGUGAUCCCUAUCGGAGACAGUGUCUGACGGGCAGUUUGACUGGGGCGGUCGCCUCCUAAAAGGUAACGGAGGCGCCCAAAGGUUCCCUCAGAAUGGUUGGAAAUCAUUCGCAGAGUGUAAAGGUAUAAGGGAGCUUGACUGCGAGAGCUACAACUCGAGCAGGGACGAAAGUCGGGCUUAGUGAUCCGGUGGUUCCGUAUGGAAGGGCCAUCGCUCAACGGAUAAAAGCUACCCUGGGGAUAACAGGCUUAUCUCCCCCAAGAGUUCACAUCGACGGGGAGGUUUGGCACCUCGAUGUCGGCUCGUCGCAUCCUGGGGCUGUAGUCGGUCCCAAGGGUUGGGCUGUUCGCCCAUUAAAGCGGCACGCGAGCUGGGUUCAGAACGUCGUGAGACAGUUCGGUCCCUAUCCGUCGCGGGCGUAGGAAAUUUGAGAGGAUCUGCUCCUAGUACGAGAGGACCAGAGUGGACUUACCGCUGGUGUACCAGUUGUCUUGCCAAAGGCAUCGCUGGGUAGCUAUGUAGGGAAGGGAUAAACGCUGAAAGCAUCUAAGUGUGAAACCCACCUCAAGAUGAGAUUUCCCAUGAUUAUAUAUCAGUAAGAGCCCUGAGAGAUGAUCAGGUAGAUAGGUUAGAAGUGGAAGUGUGGCGACACAUGUAGCGGACUAAUACUAAUAGCUCGAGGACUUAUCCAA
rnacentral:rRNA from 1 species